CUGCAGAAGUUGGUAAAAAUCUUCAAUUUUUUCAUCUUUGGCAUUAGUGGUAGGUGAGUAAAUUUGAUAAAUAUUUGUUAUUAAUUGGUCUUCCUUGUAGGCAUAUGGAUAUUAUCACUGAUAAGGUUGUCUUGAUAUGUUUACCUUAUGAUACAUCAGCAAAUUUAUUGGGGCAGAUACAGAAGCCUGAAGAGGGACCAGUCCCUGGAGAAGGACAUCAUGCUUGUGACCCUCUACUUUACCAACCGUGACCUCCUUUUCUAGUGAUUGGUCUUUCCUGAUGACCUGUCCAAAGUUAAGACAAAGUCUCGCCACCCUCGCUUGUGGUACAGCAGUGUUUUUCAGACGAUCCAUGGUGAGAGACAAAUUUUUAAAAUUUCCACUCCUUUGCAGACUGAUACUUUUGUGAAAUAUAAUAAAUAUUGCACUGAGGUGAAAUUGCUAUGCAAGUUUCUAAAUGCUGUCUCUCUAUUUCUGUUAACAAACAGUUUGCAACUGGGCACUGGUUUACAGACCUCACCAUAGGAGCACUGAAACAUGAGUUUCAGGCAGUAAUCAACAGGUUCUGAUGUUAUUUAGCUGGAUGUUUGAGAUUUUGCCCAAAGAGGGGGGCACUGCUUUAUUUGUGAUUCUUGGUCCAACAAAGGCCACCGUGUGGGGUUGUGCAGUGUGUGCCCUGCUCAGGGGACCCGACUGAGGAGCUAACGUCUCCUUUCCAAGCCAUAGGCCCUUCAAGGAGGGGACAUCCAUGGCCCAAGUGGAAGGAAUGUCUUUUUCUACCAAUAAAGGCCUGUGCCAGUGGGGACACCUUUUCCUAAUUUGCAUGAAGGCCUGUUUGACAGGGCCCUCAGAUCAUCCACCGAAUAGUCCCACUACAAAGGAGCACAAUUGGCAGUGAGGCGAUAGUUUCUUGAGAAGGCUUUCACGGGCCACUACGCUCAGUCCCUGAGAAGAAACCUGCAAGGAGUAAGGUUUUUGUUGGUUUGUUUGUGUUUUCACCUCAGUUUAAUGUCACAGUUCUGUGUACUUAAGAAAACCAUCCAUCAUCAUUUUUUUCUUUCCUGAGUUUUCCUUCCUUGAAAGAGGGCACGUGGGUCUUGUGUAUCGUUAUGACUAGAACAGUGCUCACAUCAAUACCAGCUGCAAGGUGAUAAUGAGAGCCAGGCUCAGCCGUUACUUCCAAAACAGGCAAAGAAUCUAUAGUGGGUGAUUAUUUCCCUGAAGUUUCUUUUUUCUUUUUUUUCAACCAGGACUUCCGGAGAACAAGUUUUUUUAAAUGUAGUCCUGGAGAAAGAAGCUUCCUGAAGUUAAUGAUACUCUGAAACAUUCAUCAAGUCAGUGUAGCCUGUAAAAUGACAUUAGAGGCCAAAGCAAGUUUUGCUAACAUUGUAUCCUUAGUGUGGUUAAUAUUAACCAGGGACAUUUGAGUUCACCCCGAAACAAGUUCUUAGACAAAUACAGCUUGGGAAAGAAUAUGAUUUAGUUGAGUCAUGAAUGAGCAGGACCUAGAAAUACUUCACUGUGUUCUGCUGCCUGUGGCAGAGGCUGCCCUCAUCUACCAAGCUGCACUGCCUCAGCUGUGCACAACCUCUGUGCUCCAUGUUCCAGAUUGGAGACUGCAUGUAGGGUCAGGCCAGGGGGGCAAACAGGAAGCUAGGUCAAGCGCUUGGCAGCCUGAGUUUGCACAGCUGCCAGGAACACUUGUGUUCCAUCUCAGAGAUUUCUCCAAGUUGGGAACACAGAAGCAUCUGACCCAGGUGCCCAGCUGAAACUAGGAAAAUGAGGGUCUUAGAGGCUCAUCAUCAGUAACCAAAAACAGUUGCCAUCAAGUUGGCUCCAACUCAUGUCAAUCCCACGUGUAUCAGAGUAGGACUAGACUCCAUAGGCUUUUCAGUGGCUGCCUUGUAAGAGGUAGAUUGAUAGGCUUUCUUCUGAGGUGCCACUGGGUGGACUUGAACCACCAACCUUCGUUUAGCAGCUGAUCACACUGACCAUUUGCACCAUCCAGGGACACCCUCAUCACCAAUACAGAGGGAGAUGUCUGAUGGUGGGGAGUGAGGAAGAGGGCGUUGUUAACAGCUGACUGCACUUACAGAUCUCCUCUUACCAGACACUGCCUCAGCGCUUCCCCCAACACAUCCACCAGGCCUUGGUUUCCUGGCUGACCUGGAGGAUUUGAAAGACAAACACCAACUAAUUGACCUUUGCAGGCCUCCUAGAUAGUGAGGCGGAAGAGGCAGCACAGGUCAGAUGUCUGCCGUGAAGAAGAGCUUUGGCACAUUCAGGAAUUCCAGUUGUGGGUAGAUUUUUAUUAUGAAUGGCAAAUGUUUGGGGGCUUAAGUUUCUGUUUCAUGAUUAGCAUGAAAUAUUGCCUGACCCUAAGUCAAGUCUUGCUACAAAUGCAAGAAAUAGGAGUUUCUAACAAAUACUGGGUCCAGUUUCUAACGUACAAGCCCUUUUGGUUUUGGUGGCAGAAAACCACUGAAGUUAGUUUAAUAGGGAGAAUCCCACAGACCUGCAGGACAGGAAAUACAGCCAGUCCUUGCAGGAAGUGGCCUGGAACCUAGAAAGUCAAGAAUUAAGGUUAUCAGCUUCAUCUCUCACUGUCCACAUGGUCUCAACUCAAGACUUCUCUGCCUCACUCUGUACAUGUCCUCCCUCUCUCGCUCUCACGCUUUCUCUUUGUCUCUGUGUACCUCCACCCCCGCCUCUCACCCCUCAGCCAACCCUUUGCCUAUUCAUCUGACAUGGAAGGCCGCUCCUACCAUGGAAAGGAACUGCACCUCAGUUCACGUUCCUGAGAAGCAGUCUGAUUGGCUCAGUCACCCACGUGAACCUCAUGGCCAUCUCCCUCCAAUCAUCUGUGGCAGGGCGUAGGGCGUGGGGGCAGGCGGAGGGCCAGCAGCACAGAAUCAAAGGUUCUGGGAAGUCUGUGUGAGGGGGACAUGCCCCCAACCAUGGCUAAGACACUUGAGGUUUUCACAGCUCAGGUACGCCCACAAGCGGCCUUUAAUGACGGCAGAGAAUCUGGUUGAGGUCAGCACAUAAUUAAAGCUGACAACCAUCCACUUAGCACCCUCACUAAUAGAAAUCUUAGUUGGUCUAUAUGCAUGCUGGCUGGUGUAGAAAUGUGAGGGUAGUGGUCACACAAUCACACAAGAUUGCCGCCGUGAAGCAGUAUUCUCAAUGGUCAGGGUAGAAGGGAAAAAAAAUUGCACUUGCCCAGAGUAAUUCCCCUCACACACAAGUGGUUGUUUUGUUUAAAUGGCUAACAAGACAGACGUGCUGUUUUCUAAAUGCUGACAAAAGCCCAAUGAGCUUUACACUACCAUUUUGAUGGGAAACUGAUCACAGUUCUCUGGUUGUCUAAACCUGACCUAGGGGCAUUUUCAGCCACACUUACAGCCUGCAGCUGGUCAACUCCGUUUGCAAAGCAUUCUGGCUCCAGUGCUUGAACCUCAUAUUGCACACGUUGGAUUUGUCAUUGUUGGCUUCAUCCAAGUUCCAUGACCAUUUCCUUAAUUUGUUGUUCUCUUUGUGCUACAGGUAGUGAGUUUACCCGGCAGGGGGAAAUGGGCCCCUCCACUCUUGAGCAUGGCACAAACGUGAAAGCUGAUUGUCUGGAGCCUCGCACACUGAAUUCCCAACAGCUCUGUCACAGCUAGCUUUAUGUUUACUGGAAUUAGAUAUUGUAUUCCCCAAGCCUAUUAUGAUUCUACAGGAUACUAUAUUUAUUAAGAUACAGCGUGAGGCCAGGGAACAGAGCGAGUUCCCGGACUCUUUGAAGGGUAAACCUGGUAACUGUUCUCGCUGGUCAGCUCCCAAGCGCUGAGCCAUUGGGACACAGCCAGCACCGAGUUACCUCUGCUUUCGCUAUAAACUGGUAGGUAGAGCUAGAGACUUGAUCAGAUUCAGGUUCAAUUAAAAAAAAACAAAACUACUUCUAAGUGUGUAUUCUACUCUCCAUCAGGAGGGACAAAUGCCAUUUUUAUGAGAUGGUGCACUGAUGCUGCACAUGCCCAACCCAGUGAAUCAAAUAGUACCAAGUUCACAAGGGACUCAGAUUUCACAGUCAUCUGGUGUCCCAUGGUCAGAUGUUCAGUCUCUACCAUAGUCCGAGACAAGAAUGAUUAUCAGAAGAGGAAGGCAUGGCUUUGUUCCAAACCCUCAGUGUCUGCAUUAUGAUUUUCCCGUCAGUGCUUGUCCAAGGCUUCAUAGAGCAUCUCUAUCUGCCACGGAUGAUUUGAGCAUCUUUCUGUCUACUGAGUCUUGAGGCCCAGGUGGAAGGGUGGCUUGUGGCUCAGCCUGGCUCUGCUGCAAAGCUUUCUUUUGCUCCAAGACUCACUUAAAUCUAGUAGUCUUAUUGAUUACUCAGUAAAUAGGCCAGAGCAGCAAACCAAAUGUGAAAUACACCUAACAACAGCUGUGUUCUCACCAAAUGGCUCUCACCUUAAAGAGGGUGUCUGUCUAUUCCCAAGACCCUAGACCUUAGGAAUUUCACUGGGGUGGAAUUUUUGUGAAUUUAUUUCCCACCUCUUUGUAUGCAUGGUGUGGUGGAUUAAAAAUGUUCAUGAAUUAUUUAUAGUUUCUCCCAUCAAGAGAUGGAAUCUCUUGUUCCUGUCCCUUGAAUCUGACUGACCUAGUGACUUGCUUUGACCAACAGAAUGCAACAGAAGUGAUGCUGUGUGAUUUCCCAGGCAAGGACCUCAAGAGUGAGGCCAUCCUAAACCAGUCAGUCAUUUCAGCUUCCAUCUGACCACAGGUGCGUGAGUGAUCCCAGGUGAGACCAGCAAAAGUGCUCCCCAGUCUACUCACCAACUUGUGAGAGAUAAUAAAUUGUUGUUUAAGCUGCUAAGUUUUGGGAUAUUUGUUAAGCAUCAAUUAACUGAAGCAGAAAUUGAUAUUUAGAAGUUGUGCACUGCCUUAACAAAAACCUAAAACAUGUGGCAUUGGUUCUCUGACCCAAGGAAUGAGGGCUAUUAUUGUAGCAAUGACCAAGUGGGAAUGCCUGGAACAGCCUUCCCCUGCCAAAAUAUUACAUCCAAAGCAGUGUAUUGUUCCAGGGAGAAUGGCAGAGAUUAGUGCCAUCUUCAAAGACUUGAAAUGCCAUCUUCAAAGACCUAAAACUUACAGGGGUGUGAUUUUUAUCACAUCUUCAUUUAAUUCUCUGUUUGACCAAUGCCCAAGAGGGAAAAACCUUGGAGAGUGAUGGUGAAUUGUUGUAAGCCUAAUCAGGUGAUGAGUCCAAUUGUAGUUGCUGUUCCAGAUGUGUUUUCUUUGCUACAUCAAAUCAACAUAGUCCCUGGCACCUAGUAGGCAGCUAUUGAGCUGGCAAGUGCAUUUUUCUCAUACUGAAUUAGUGAAGACCACCAAAAGCAGUUUCUUUCAUCUAGCAGGGGAAAUAAUACCCCUUCACAAUGUCAGUUCUAUGGCUGUUUGUCGUAAUAGAGUCCUCAGAGACUUUGAUCAAGUCUCCUUGAGAAUAUCAUGCUAGUUCACUGCGUUGAUGGCAUCAUACCAACUGGGCCUAAAACCAAAAAAGCCAAACCCGUUGCAUCAGUUCCAACUCAUAGCGACCCCAUAGGGCAGAGUAAAACUGCCCCCUAGAGUUUCCAAGGAGCGCCUGGUGGAUUCAAACUGCCAGCCUUUUAGUUAAGCAGCUGUAGCACUUAACCACUACACCACUAAGUUUUCCCAGCUGGGCCUGGUGAGCAGGAAAUAAACCUUGGUAAGACACCUGCAUUCCACAGGCUGGGAGAGAAAAUCUGAAAAUUCAGUAGUCUGUCUCCCACAUCAGUAAAAUUUCUAAGAUUCCAUUCAUUUAUAUGCCAGAAUAUCCCUUCUGAAGUGAGAGACAAAUUGCUGUUAUCUUCACCACUAUGAUUAAUAAAAUGACACACAAUAAAUGUGAGAAUAUUUGAGUUUUAGAGGCAACACAUAUGCUAUUUUAGUGUACUUCUUCGAUACAUUUACCAAGAAGUGCAUACAGCUGCUGAUUUUCCUUGGGACCUGGAGCAAGAAAAAGCUUUGCAACAGCUUCAGGCCGUUGUGCAUUUGAGAUUCAUUCAUGUUGUUGUGUGUUGUAUGUAUCUGAGGUUCAUUCCUUUUUAAUGCUGAGUAGGUACCCAUUUUAUGGAUAUACUUCAAUUUGUCCAUUCACUAAGUGACUAAGGGUCACACUUUAGUAACAGAACUAAACUAGUCCAGAAUAGAGGCUGCUCCAGACCCACCCUUAAAAAGCUUUAAAGAAAAGUCUUGAAAAGAUCAAACUGAUCUGAUCUGCCAGUUCUAUAGCUGCCUCCCAGAACAAAGUCAAACGCUCUUUAAAGCAAGAUAGCCAAGUUCAGACUCUCAAUGACCUAACAACUUAAUGUUCAGCAUUCAAUAAAAAAUUACUAGAUACACCAAAAAUGUGACACAUAACCAGGGGAGAAAAAAAAAAAAUAGAAAAAGACCCACUUUUGAUAGAGAUUAUGCAAUUAAUAUGCAAAUAUUUUAAAGAAGCUAUACAAAUACCCUCAGUAUGCUCAAGGAUCUUUAACAUAAACAUAAUCAGGAGAGAUAAUAAAGAUAUUAAAAAAAGCCAAAUGGAACUUCUAGAGAUGAAAAAUAUAUUAUCUGAAAUGAAAAAUACUCUGGAGAGGAUUAACUGCAGUUUAGACAUGGAAAAAGAAAAUAUUAGUGACUUGAAGCUGUAGCAAUAGAAGCUAUUUAAACUGAGACACAGAAAGAAAAAGAUGGGCCAGGGUGGUGGGGGAAGGACCUCAGUGACCUGGGAGUAAUAUCAGGCAAUUUAUUAUAUGUAUAAUUAGAGUCCCGGAAAAGUGUAAAAGUUGGUGUGGAAAGGGAGCAGACAGAAAAAUAUUUGAAAAAAUAAUGAUGGGGAAAAGCUUUUUAUUUGUUGAAAACUAUGACCCCACAGAUCCAAGAAGCUUAAUGAACCCCAAGGAGGAUAAACACACACACACACACACACAAACUAUACCAAGGCAUACUAUAAUCAAAUUUCUGGAAAACAGUGAUCAUAAGAAAAUCUUAAAAUCAGCCAGAGAAAAAAGGCAUAUGGCGUAGAGGAACAAAAAUAAAAGUGAGAGCUGAUUUCUUGUCAGAAAUUAUGCAACCUGGAAGACAAUGGAAUGCUAUCUUUAAAUUGCAGAAUGAAAAUAAAUAUUCUGCCAACCUAGAAUACAAUAUCCAGCAAAAAAAAAAAAAUU